AACUAACGCUGGCGGCGUGCCUAACACAUGCAAGUCGUACGAGAAAGCCGGCUUCGGCUGGUGAGUAAAGUGGCGCACGGGUGAGUAACGCGUGGAUAAUCUGCCCUUAAGUGUGGAAUAACGUACCGAAAGGUGCGCUAAUACCGCAUAAUGCCUGGCAACACAAGUUGUCCGGCCAAAGAAGGCCUCUGUUUACAAGCUUUCGCUUCAGGAUGAGUCCGCGUACCAUUAGCUUGUUGGUGGGGUAAUGGCCUACCAAGGCUGCGAUGGUUAGCUGGUCUGAGAGGAUGAUCAGCCACACUGGAACUGAGACACGGUCCAGACUCCUACGGGAGGCAGCAGUGAGGAAUAUUGCGCAAUGGGGGCAACCCUGACGCAGCAACGCCGCGUAAGUGAGGAAGGUUUUCGGACUGUAAAGCUCUGUCGAGCGGGAAGAAGUGUACCAUGGCUAAUAUCCAUGAUAUUUGACGGUACCGCUAGAGGAAGCACC
rnacentral:rRNA from 1 species